CCUACGGGAGGCAGCAGUGGGGAAUUUUGGACAAUGGGCGCAAGCCUGAUCCAGCCAUGCCGCGUGCAGGAUGAAGGUCUUCGGGUUGUAAACUGCUUUUGUACGGAACGAAAAGGUCUUUUUAAUAAAGAGGGCCCAUGACGGUACCGUAAGAAUAAGCACCGGCUAACUACGUGCCAGCAGCCGCGGUAAUACGUAGGGUGCAAGCGUUAAUCGGAAUUACUGGGCGUAAAGCGUGCGCAGGCGGUAAUGUAAGACAGAUGUGAAAUCCCCGGGCUCAACCUGGGAACUGCAUUUGUGACUGCAUUGCUGGAGUGCGGCAGAGGGGGAUGGAAUUCCGCGUGUAGCAGUGAAAUGCGUAGAUAUGCGGAGGAACACCGAUGGCGAAGGCAAUCCCCUGGGCCUGCACUGACGCUCAUGCACGAAGACGGUGGGGAGGACAACAGGAGUUAGUAUACCCGUACGGUAGUACCGACCGACCCGUAAACCGACUAGUCACUGGUUGGUUGGGUUCGUUCUAUUGUACUC
rnacentral:rRNA from 1 species